UAACUGACCUCUUAUUUCUGCACUCACGUU
rnacentral:piRNA from 1 species